rnacentral:lncRNA from 1 species
GCGCGCGGCGGUGUUUGAAUGGCUGUGAGUGGGGCCCGGCUGGGGAUCCGAGGGACGCUCCGAGCUGCCGGGAGCGGUUCAUCAGCACAGUGGCUGAGCUUGGGCGCUGCGGUACCAUGAGGCGCCGGUAAGUGACGGCCGGACCCGGUUGGGGCCUUCGCUGCUGCUCGCGCGGCGGGCUUCUUGAGCAGCUGGCCGGGCCCACCUGCAGGCCCCGCGGCAGCGGCCUUUCCGGGGCUGGGCGGCGGGGUCGGGGCGGGACGCAGGCGGGUGGGGCCCCCGGUCUCCCGCGGAGCCCCCGGGCGAGCGGUUGUCUGGAGGUUGGAGCUGCAGGCCUCGGGGGUCCUGGCAGGAGAGGCAUGGAUCAAACCUACUGUCAUUUAUUUAUCUUCGGGUGGAGUCGACAUCUGCACCCUACGGGGAAAGACGGGGCGCGUGAGAAGAUUGCUCUGCGAGGACAGGUUUUCCCCAGAGCAGCCUAGGCCCGGCUGAGGCAUUUCCUUAUUUUUCUGAGGAAUUUUUGAGUCCCAGACAGAUCGGCUUUUGUUUCUAAGGACAGAAACUUGACAUAGCCGCAUAAGAAUCAUUGACUGCAACUUUUAAAACCUCGUUGUGCUUUCUGAAAAGUUAUUCCGUAAUUGUACCUAGGUGCUUAACUGAGCUUAGGCAUGGAGAUAACAAAGAGUUGAUUUGUUUUGUACUGGCUUCUAAAGUCCCUUGAAAACAGCUAUAUCAAUUUCUUGGCAGAUCUGGAGAAAAAAGUAACUGGAAGAGAUAAUUCUAUAAUUAUUGCCGAUUUCGUACUUAACGAGCUCGCUGAGACACCAGUCCACCUAAUAUCUGAAACUUUAUACAAAAUCAUUCAGGAUUUUUCCUCUCUCAUAUAUUUUUGGUUGUGAGCCUAGCCUUUAACGGCUGAGCCAUCUCUCCAGCCCUCUUCUCUCUUUCAAAUCAGCUUCUUCAAGUCAGAAGUUUAUGCAUGGAGGCUUUUUGCUUGGAUAGUAGCUGGACUUGUAAUAAGCCAUAACGAGUAAUAACUUACUUAUUUUGUUUUCUGUGUGCUAAGAGUUGUUUUAAGAGUGCUGCUUUGGAAUAGGUAGUAUUAUCAUCAUUUUGACACGGGAAAAAGGCACGGGGAAGUCAUCUUAGGUAGGGUUACAUAGUUAUUUGCUCCACAAAGCCACAGGGCCGCCUCCUCUGCCUUGAUCUUACUAAUGUCCAAAGUGUUGUUUCAUUUGCUUGAGCUUCGGAGAUAUUUAUGUGCGUACGCCUCUGUGUACACUACACAUGAAUGAAUCCACACACCAACCACAUUCCCUGCUCGUAUUGACCACGAUUAAUUUUUGUGUUUGAGGGAAAAAAAUGUUUCUAAGAUAAAUAGAAAUAAGGUUUAUGGUUUCACUUUUCAGAGACCAGAGAACAGCUGGAAACAUGAUUCUUUAAAACUGGGUACACUAUUUUGUAUUUGGAAUGAGUAUACUUCAUAACACCUUGCAGAGAAACACCUCAAGAGUAAGCUACCUUCAGUAGUCAGCACUUAUUCAUAUGGAAACCUUGAAACUUCAUUCAGCAAUUACUGAGGUUUCUAUUGCCUCAGUGUCCAGCACAGUACUGGAUCCAGUGAGCUAUAUUCAAGAAAUGUGCCAGGCAACAGGUAUUAGGGAAGUUAGUUUGGUGUGAGAUUAGUUACAAAAUAAUAUACUCUUCCUUGGGGCAGUGAUGUAUGAUGAUCUGGACUGGGUAAAUCUGCUAUACAGCUAAGAAAUGAAGGGCUUGUGUAAGACAUUUAUAGAAAGGGAGGCAGGGUAUUUUACUGAAGAAACUGUUCAAAGACUAGGAAUCCAGACCAAAAAUUACUUUUAAUGGGAACAGUAAGUUAUCUUUUUAAAAGUUCAUGUUGGUUAACAUCAUAUGAAAUAAGACUGGGAAAUGUUGUAAAUGACACAUGUCAUAGAGGUCUGAUACACCCAGAGUUCUCAGGCACACAAAGAUUUGGGAAUUUGUAAAAUUUUGUUGCAGUGGCUCUCAACUGGGUCAAGUUUUCUCCUUAGGAUAUUUAGGGUUGUCAGACAUAAGGAAAGGUUGAUACUGUCAAUCUACUGUCCAUAGGCUGGAGUACUUAUAAGCAUCCUGCAUCAGACAGACUCCCAUAAGAAACAAUCACUCCAAGGGUCAGUGUUGCUGUGGUUGCGAAACCCUAAUUUUAAGUUGGUUGGUUAUGUGGCUGGCUUCCACUCACAUAUGUUAUAGGUAAGUAGGAAUGACAAAUUUUAGGAACACAACUAGACUUCAUAAUGACAUUAGGAGUGGUUUAGAGUUCUCCCAAAGGCUGUUCCAAUCCUAGAGGAGAGGUGUGUAGGAGAUAGGCAGGAGCUUUAAGAAUGCUAAAAUUAAGGUAAGAAUCACUAAAUUUUAUUUUAUCUAAAUGUGAAGAUAACAAAAAUUCAUUUGAAAUAGAAAAUGAACAUAAUAGAAAAUAGAAAACAGAACAUAAGCAGAAAUAAGGGCCAGCAGGAUGGUUCAAGCAGCCAGAAGUGCUUGCCUUGUGAGUCUGAUGACUUGAGUUGACUCUGCAAUCC